ensembl:snRNA U2 U2 spliceosomal RNA
AUUGCUUCACAGCCUUCUGGCUAAGAUCAAGUGUAGUACCUGUUCUUAUCAGUUUAAACAAAAAAGGGUAAGUUUCCUUCCAGUGUCCAAUACUAUAGUCUUCAUUUUUGUUUGAAACGUCAUCAAAAUGGCCCUUACUAUUUCUACCAAUA